GACGAACGCUGGCGGCGUGCCUAACACAUGCAAGUCGAGCGGGGACAUACGACGGAUAGGAAGUUUUCGGAUGGAAUUGAAGAUGUAUUGUUCUAGCGGCGGACGGGUGAGUAACGCGUGAGCAACCUGUCGCUUACAGGGGGAUAACACAGCGAAAGUUGUACUAAUACCGCAUAACACCACGGUGAGACAUCUUACAGGGGUCAAAGGAGCAAUCCGGUAAGGGGUGGGCUCGCGUCCGAUUAUAUAGUUGGUGAGGUAACGGCCCACCAAGUCGACGAUCGGUAGCCGACCUGAGAGGGUGAUCGGCCACAUUGGGACUGAGACACGGCCCAAACUCCUACGGGAGGCAGCAGUGGGGAAUAUUGGGCAAUGGGGGAAACCCUGACCCAGCAACGCCGCGUGAGGGAAGAAGGUUUUCGGAUCGUAAACCUCUGUCCUUGGUGAAGAGUAAGAGACGGUAGCCGAGGAGGCAGCUCCGGCUAACUAC
rnacentral:rRNA from 1 species